AACGAACGCUGGCGGCACGCCUAACACAUGCAAGUCGAGCGCUACCUUCGGGUGGAGCGGCGGACGGGUUAGUAACGCGUGGGAACAUACCCUUUUCUGCGGAAUAGCCUUUGGAAACGAAGAGUAAUACCGCAUACGCCCUUCGGGGGAAAGAUUUAUCGGUGAAGGAUUGGCCCGCGUUAGAUUAGAUAGUUGGUGGGGUAAUGGCCUACCAAGUCUACGAUCUAUAGCUGGUUUGAGAGGAUGAUCAGCAACACUGGGACUGAGACACGGCCCAG
rnacentral:rRNA from 1 species